rnacentral:rRNA from 1 species
UCCUGACUGACCGAUAGUGAACCAGUACCGUGAGGGAAAGGCGAAAAGAACCCCGGCGAGGGGAGUGAAAAAGAACCUGAAACCGUGUACGUACAAGCAGUGGGAGCACGCUUAGGCGUGUGACUGCGUACCUUUUGUAUAAUGGGUCAGCGACUUAUAUUCUGUAGCAAGGUUAACCGAAUAGGGGAGCCGAAGGGAAACCGAGUCUUAACUGGGCGUUAAGUUGCAGGGUAUAGACCCGAAACCCGGUGAUCUAGCCAUGGGCAGGUUGAAGGUUGGGUAACACUAACUGGAGGACCGAACCGACUAAUGUUGAAAAAUUAGCGGAUGACUUGUGGCUGGGGGUGAAAGGCCAAUCAAACCGGGAGAUAGCUGGUUCUCCCCGAAAGCUAUUUAGGUAGCGCCUCGUGAAUUCAUCUCCGGGGGUAGAGCACUGUUUCGGCAAGGGGGUCAUCCCGACUUACCAACCCGAUGCAAACUGCGAAUACCGGAGAAUGUUAUCACGGGAGACACACGGCGGGUGCUAACGUCCGUCGUGAAGAGGGAAACAACCCAGACCGCCA